AAGGCUGAGUAUUAGGCAAUACCGGUACUCGUUAAGGCUGAGCUGUGAUGGGGAGAAGACAUUGUGUCUUCGAGUCGUUGAUUUCACACUGCCGAGAAAAGCCUCUAGAUAGAAAUAAGGUGCCCGUACCGCAAACCGACACAGGUAGUCAAGAUGAGAAUUCUAAGGUGAGCGAGCGAACUCUCGUUAAGGA
rnacentral:rRNA from 1 species